rnacentral:rRNA from 1 species
GACGAACGCUGGCGGCGUGCCUAACACAUGCAAGUCGAACGGAAAGGCCCCUUUGGUGGUACUCUAGCGGCGAACGGGUGAGUAACACGUUAGUAACCUGCCCUUGACUUCGGGAUAACUUCAGGAUACUGGGGCCAAUACCGGAUAGGGAUCCUCGCUGCAUGGUGGGGGUUGGAAAGCUUCGGCGGUUUUGGAUGGACUUGCGGCCUAUCAGCUUGUUGGUGGGGUAGUGGCUUACCAAGGCUUUGACGGGUAGCCGGCCUGCGUGGGCGACCGGCCAGACUGGGACCGAAAGACGGCCCAGACUCCGAAGGGAGGCAGAAGGGGGGAAUAUUGGACGAUGGGCGGAAGCCUGAUGCAGCAAGGCCGCGGGGGGGAUAACGGCCUUCGGGUUGGAGAACGCUUGUAGCAGGAGCGAAGCUUGUCGUGACGGUACCUGCAGAAGAAGCACCGGCUAACUACGUG